AUAAUAGAUUGACAGCAGAUUACAGGAAAUUUAAAAUCAAAUGGAAGAAAAUCAAGCAUUAAAUAUAUGUCAGUGAAGGUAUAGUCCAGUGGUAUGGAUUGGGACGCUGAAGGAGUAUUAUGAAGGUACAGGAUUUGAUACUGCUGCUAACUAAAUUUGCCCCCUCCCUAACAAAUUAACCACUAACAUUUGCUUAUAAAAAAAACAUUGAAUAUAAAUGUACUUACUUGUCUUUUUUAUAAACAUGCAUGAGAUCAAGAGUUGUUCCACUAUGACAAGCGUCAAUAAUAGCAUGAAGUUUAACACCUCUCUUGAGUGGCACAACAAUGGUGGAGUUGAUUUCAUUUUCAGUGAUCCCUCCUUCUCUCAUAAAAUCAACAGGGCAAAUAGGAAAACUUGAAAAUGUGAUGAAAUUUUUUUUUUUCUUACAAUGAUGAAAUAUAACUCGAUAACACAAAAUUGACAACUUAAUUUUCAUCUUUUGAUGACAUAUCCUAGUCAUGUAAAUACAUUAUAGUUCAGAAGGAUCUUUCAAUUUAAUUUUGUUAUGCAUUGAUUAAACAUUGAAAAUAGAAUUGUAUCAAAAUAAAAGUUUCUAUAGCAGAUACCUGUGAGGACACGUAUGGAUUGAAUUGGGAAUGCAAAUUUCUCAACCAGUAGAUGUUUCAUGUUGAUGACAUCAUUAACGGUUCCCUUGAGCCUGUAUCGUCUUCCGCUGUAACGGUAUGUAACUCCACAGAGAACCGCGUGUUUGUUAUUGAUUGUGGAUGACAAAGGCGACGAAUGGCCUGAUGCAAUUACGCUAGCAGUGUGUAGUUGAGUUUGGUUGAACAAUCUCGCUCCAAAACAGUUUUCUCUUGAUUGCUUAUAACCUGAAGUUGACUUGCAAACAACUUGGCAGUGGCACUCACAGGAAUGGUAUAGUUGUUUUUGUUGGUACUACAAACUUUGGUUUGCAAUCACUGCAAGCAAGUUCUUUUUCCAUAGUAUAAUUUGAACUAAGAAACUUAUGGUGAUCUAAUUCUAAGCUAGCACCAUCGGUUCUGUUGUUGGUAAUCGGAACAUAAUAGCCUUUGCUUUUUAUGGCUUUUAAUUUAUCACCCAUUGUUUGAUCAGGCCAAGUAUAUAUGCAGUCACCGAAGAUGAAUAUCUAUAGAGAAGUUUUCAACUCAAACUUACCAUUGGAUUUGAGCUGUGCUCAAAUGUGAAAACAAACAUACUAAUUUAAUAGCAAUUCAGACAAGUUUUCUCAUCAACAACCAGAUGCUAUUAUCUUUGGUUUCUAUAGCUCCCCGAAACUGGUACGUCUAGUGAAUGUGAAACUGAGCUGAGCUGAACCUAAAUCAUGCUUAAAUUGCAUCUGUUUGGCAGAUCCAAGAUAAUGAGGGGAGGAGAAUCUUUCUGUUUCAUCUAAGAUAAGAUUUAUAUAUGUCUUUAAAUCAUGAUAAUUGAUCACUUACCAUAAAAAACCAGAUGCUGCAACUUGUUCUAGAUUCUCUCUUGCGUUAUAGAGAAGGAAGAACCACAUACAUGUUUUAUUUUAAGAAGACUAUAUUCUUUGUAUGCAACUUGAAAUUGAAUGCCGUGAAAAUUUUGAUUUGGUUCUUAAAUUCAUUCCUAUAAUUAGUUAAAUGGUGAGAUAUGAGAAUGAGAGGAAUCUAGUAUGAAAAUGUAACAUGGCGUAGAUGAAAUUUAGUCAUCAUACAAUAUUCCCGAUUUCUUCUUUUUUCGAAAUUUAAAUUUUAUGUUUUCGGUAUAUAUAUAUAUAUAUAUAUAUAUAUAUAUAUCUGUGUGUGUGUGUGUGUGUGUUGAAAUUGCAAAGAGUGGUUGGAUCAGUUUCUGUAGGAUUAAAAAGGGGGUUUUCAACUUGGAGAUUCCCAAGAGGACUCUUUAUCUCGAUUGCUCUUUGAAUCGAAGCACAAUUGCCAAAAAUCAUCAUAAACAAAGUUACAAGUUACAACACUUCAUUAAUGCAUUAAUAAAUUCAUGAAAUAUGAUAUUUUGACACAAAUAUAGUCAUCGACACUGUAUACAUUUAUUAUACGGUUUUCUAUAUUUUUAUCUGGAAAAGCUCAUAUAAGAUUAAUUGAUCUAUUUUAGCAGGAAACACACAAGAAUAGAAGACAAGCUUCAACAAUGCAAAAUGGAUAGCUAUAUAAAUCAUAAAUAUACAUAUUAGGGGGACAAACAUCUACACGAGUUCAAAAUAUCUUAAUCUGCUUCAACAUUUAGGAACAGGUAGUGUUUAGAAAACACAAAUGAAACAAUAGAAUACAAUACAACACAAUACAAUACAUGAAUACAAUAUACUACUUCCCUUGUUUUAUUAAAACC
rnacentral:lncRNA from 1 species